rnacentral:rRNA from 1 species
UACGAAGGGGGCUAGCGUUGCUCGGAAUGACUGGGCGUAAAGGGCGCGUAGGCGGUUGGCACAGUCAGAUGUGAAAUUCCCGGGCUUAACCUGGGGGCUGCAUUUGAUACGUGUUGUCUUGAGUUCGGAAGAGGGUCGUGGAAUUCCCAGUGUAGAGGUGAAAUUCGUAGAUAUUGGGAAGAACACCGGUGGCGAAGGCGGCGACCUGGUCCGACACUGACGCUGAGGCGCGAAAGCGUGGGGAGCAAACAGG